rnacentral:rRNA from 1 species
AGCGUACACGGUGGAUGCCCUGGCAGUCAGAGGCGAUGAAGGACGUGCUAAUCUGCGAUAAGCGUCGGUAAGGUGAUAUGAACCGUUAUAACCGGCGAUUUCCGAAUGGGGAAACCCAGUGUGAUUCGUCACACUAUCAUUAACUGAAUCCAUAGGUUAAUGAGGCGAACCGGGGGAACUGAAACAUCUAAGUACCCCGAGGAAAAGAAAUCAACCGAGAUUCCCCCAGUAGCGGCGAGCGAACGGGGAGCAGCCCAGAGCCUGAAUCAGUGUGUGUGUUAGUGGAAGCGUCUGGAAAGGCGCGCGAUACAGGGUGACAGCCCCGUACACAAAAAUGCACAUGCUGUGAGCUCGAUGAGUAGGGCGGGACACGUGGUAUCCUGUCUGAAUAUGGGGGGACCAUCCUCCAAGGCUAAAUACUCCUGACUGACCGAUAGUGAACCAGUACCGUGAGGGAAAGGCGAAAAGAACCCCGGCGAGGGGAGUGAAAAAGAACCUGAAACCGUGUACGUACAAGCAGUGGGAGCACAGAGCAAUCUGUGUGACUGCGUACCUUUUGUAUAAUGGGUCAGCGACUUAUAUUCUGUAGCAAGGUUAACCGAAUAGGGGAGCCGAAGGGAAACCGAGUCUUAACUGGGCGUUAAGUUGCAGGGUAUAGACCCGAAACCCGGUGAUCUAGCCAUGGGCAGGUUGAAGGUUGGGUAACACUAACUGGAGGACCGAACCGACUAAUGUUGAAAAAUUAGCGGAUGACUUGUGGCUGGGGGUGAAAGGCCAAUCAAACCGGGAGAUAGCUGGUUCUCCCCGAAAGCUAUUUAGGUAGCGCCUCGUGAAUUCAUCUCCGGGGGUAGAGCACUGUUUCGGCAAGGGGGUCAUCCCGACUUACCAACCCGAUGCAAACUGCGAAUACCGGAGAAUGUUAUCACGGGAGACACACGGCGGGUGCUAACGUCCGUCGUGAAGAGGGAAACAACCCAGACCGCCAGCUAAGGUCCCAAAGUCAUGGUUAAGUGGGAAACGAUGUGGGAAGGCCCAGACAGCCAGGAUGUUGGCUUAGAAGCAGCCAUCAUUUAAAGAAAGCGUAAUAGCUCACUGGUCGAGUCGGCCUGCGCGGAAGAUGUAACGGGGCUAAACCAUGCACCGAAGCUGCGGCAGCGACGCUGAUGCGUUGUUGGGUAGGGGAGCGUUCUGUAAGCCUGUGAAGGUGUGCUGUGAGGCAUGCUGGAGGUAUCAGAAGUGCGAAUGCUGACAUAAGUAACGAUAAAGCGGGUGAAAAGCCCGCUCGCCGGAAGACCAAGGGUUCCUGUCCAACGUUAAUCGGGGCAGGGUGAGUCGACCCCUAAGGCGAGGCCGAAAGGCGUAGUCGAUGGGAAACAGGUUAAUAUUCCUGUACUUGGUGUUACUGCGAAGGGGGGACGGAGAAGGCUAUGUUGGCCGGGCGACGGUUGUCCCGGUUUAAGCGUGUAGGCUGGUUUUCCAGGCAAAUCCGGAAAAUCAAGGCUGAGGCGUGAUGACGAGGCACUACGGUGCUGAAGCAACAAAUGCCCUGCUUCCAGGAAAAGCCUCUAAGCAUCAGGUAACAUCAAAUCGUACCCCAAACCGACACAGGUGGUCAGGUAGAGAAUACCAAGGCGCUUGAGAGAACUCGGGUGAAGGAACUAGGCAAAAUGGUGCCGUAACUUCGGGAGAAGGCACGCUGAUAUGUAGGUGAAGUCCCUCGCGGAUGGAGCUGAAAUCAGUCGAAGAUACCAGCUGGCUGCAACUGUUUAUUAAAAACACAGCACUGUGCAAACACGAAAGUGGACGUAUACGGUGUGACGCCUGCCCGGUGCCGGAAGGUUAAUUGAUGGGGUUAGCGGUAACGCGAAGCUCUUGAUCGAAGCCCCGGUAAACGGCGGCCGUAACUAUAACGGUCCUAAGGUAGCGAAAUUCCUUGUCGGGUAAGUUCCGACCUGCACGAAUGGCGUAAUGAUGGCCAGGCUGUCUCCACCCGAGACUCAGUGAAAUUGAACUCGCUGUGAAGAUGCAGUGUACCCGCGGCAAGACGGAAAGACCCCGUGAACCUUUACUAUAGCUUGACACUGAACAUUGAGCCUUGAUGUGUAGGAUAGGUGGGAGGCUUUGAAGUGUGGACGCCAGUCUGCAUGGAGCCGGCCUUGAAAUACCACCCUUUAAUGUUUGAUGUUCUAACGUUGGCCCCUGAUCGGGGUUGCGGACAGUGUCUGGUGGGUAGUUUGACUGGGGCGGUCUCCUCCUAAAGAGUAACGGAGGAGCACGAAGGUUGGCUAAUCCUGGUCGGACAUCAGGAGGUUAGUGCAAUGGCAUAAGCCAGCUUGACUGCGAGCGUGACGGCGCGAGCAGGUGCGAAAGCAGGUCAUAGUGAUCCGGUGGUUCUGAAUGGAAGGGCCAUCGCUCAACGGAUAAAAGGUACUCCGGGGAUAACAGGCUGAUACCGCCCAAGAGUUCAUAUCGACGGCGGUGUUUGGCACCUCGAUGUCGGCUCAUCACAUCCUGGGGCUGAAGUAGGUCCCAAGGGUAUGGCUGUUCGCCAUUUAAAGUGGUACGCGAGCUGGGUUUAGAACGUCGUGAGACAGUUCGGUCCCUAUCUGCCGUGGGCGCUGGAGAACUGAGGGGGGCUGCUCCUAGUACGAGAGGACCGGAGUGGACGCAUCACUGGUGUUCGGGUUGUCAUGCCAAUGGCACUGCCCGGUAGCUAAAUGCGGAAGAGAUAAGUGCUGAAAGCAUCUAAGCACGAAACUUGCCCCGAGAUGAGUUCUCCCUGACUCCUUGA